rnacentral:lncRNA from 1 species
GUGGGGUGGAGCGCGGCCGGCGGCCGCCCCCGGCCGGUCUCGGGCCCGCAGCCCGCCCGCCUGAGCCUCGGCCGGCCCGGCCCGGGGCGGCGGCCGGAGCCCGGAGUGCGCGCCCGGCUCCCCUCCCCCCGCGGGUAAGUGGAAGUCAGGAGGGACCCAGGAGGGAGGCCGGGAGCGAUCGGCGCCUCGGCGGCAGCGGCGCCGGCAACUUUUCCGCGCCUGGCUCGUGGGCGGAGUGGGGCUGCGCCCGGCGGGUCCCCAAGAGCGUUGCGAGAAGGCGAGGGCGCCGCCCCGCGCGCCUUGAGCGCCCCGCCGCCCGGGGUGGGUCGGGGAUCGGGGACAGUGCGUCUGACGGUGGCGACGGCGGCCGCGGAGUCCCGGGGCGCCCCCUACGGAGCGGGGGAAGGGCGGCCCGGCCUCUGUUCCCUUCCCAGUGGCCCCUCCACCCCGACCCCCCAGGGGACGCAUGGGAAUGCGGUGGGGAGGGCGGGUCCCCGCGCGACUUGGGCAGGUCAAGGUGGGCAGAGAGUUGUCAGGGUGGGAGGGCUUGUGUCCGGCUCGGACAUGGGGCUUGGGUUGAGGGGCUUGGAUAUGCAUAUGCCUACCCCACUCCUAGCCCCCCGACCUGGCCUUUGGACGGGAGGAAUGGGUUGGGGGGGUCUCUCAGAGUUCUUUGGGUGGGGGCGGGGGUGGAUACCGGUCCAAGUUCUUGACGUGUCGCCCGCUGGGUAGGGGGAAGGUCUCUUGUUGGGCAGGGGCUGGUGGGAGCUGGGGGGAUGUCUCCUUUCCCUUCGGAGAAAAGCGCUCAUUCAAGGUUGCAUAGGAAGGAAAGCCAGGUUGGGGACCAGCCCUGUGCAGCUUGGGGUCCCCGUGCCUUUUGGCUGAAGGAGGAGGUUAAAAGGGCCCAGACUGAACCCCGACCCCUCUGUCUUAGCCCCAGACUGUUUUCUGAUUUUAGCACUAGAUUUGGCUGCCCCUAAAGCCCUUAGCCCUAACUGACCUUCCUGCCCAGCCCAGCCCAGCCCAGCCCAGCCAGGCCCCAGACCCAGUGGCUUCUUGAAUGUUUUGGCUGUGCAGCUGGCUCCUUGUCACCUGCCCCCUUCCCAACCUUCCCCAGCUGGCAGCCUCUGACUCCUGGUCUAUGAGGGUGAGGCUGGGGGCUGGGGGACCCCUGGCAUAAGGGGUGUCCUCUGGCAGUCCUGCCCCAGCUGGAGGGCUGUACCCAACAGGUGCCCAGGCUUAGAGGCGAGGUGAUGUUGGACACACCCUGUCCGCUCGCCCACAUGCCCUGCCCGGGCCAGCCUGGGUACAUGUGUUCACAUGCCGAUGUCCUGGGAAGGCACAGGCCCUGGGGCUGGUGCUAGCUUUGUUCUCUGAUCCCGUGAGGCACCCAUGGCCCUCUGCCCUUGCAGCACGUCCUCUGGGAGCUCCUUCAAGACCCCAACAGGCAGGCCUUGCCUGUGGAUCUAGAGGGGGCCCUAAAAUAGGUGCCGGCCUGGCCUGGGGCUGGCACGCGGAGCACAUGCGUGACAGGGCGUGUCCAGAGGGUCGGGCCUGUCUGUGCUGGCCUGGCCACUGAGCCUCCGCCGACCCUUGCUCGCUGGAGAAAGACAGCAGAGGCGGAUGCUUUAGGAGGGACCCCCGUGUCGUGCCCACCCUCUAACAAUGCAAGUGGACGCCAGAUGUUCCAUGCAGACCGCAGCUGCGGGGCAGGCCCCCAUCUAUCUGCAAUCCCAGGGUAAUUAGCCCGGUGGGUACACUGGGGUGACCCGCUCGCCCGAUCUAGGUGGUGCUUUGAUACCUCUUAAAGCAUUUUUUGGAGUUUGCCCUUCACCUUGGAAAGCUGGGUGGGGGAUUCUGUCCUCCAUGAAUAACGGCGCCAGGAACCUUGGGCGAUCUUGAGAAAACUCCUUCCUGUAACCUCUGUUUUCCACGUUGGAUGUGUUUUAGGCCACAGUCAGGCCUGGCUUUUUUUUUUUUUUUUUUUUAAGACUUAUUCCAUGACCUUAAGCCCCAGUCUGAAUCUCUGAGCCUUAAUUAUUCUAUCUAUAAAUGGGAAGCAUUUGGAAAUGGGACGGAGAGAAGUGUACACUUUGCCCCUGGCCGCCUUCUUCCCUCCUGGUGUCCUGGGUGGACACGGAGGUGUGUCUGGGGAAGGUGUGUCCUUUAGGGCCGGUCGCCUGGGAAGGAUGUUGAGCGGAGGGCAGUGGGUGUGGGUGAGAAUCCCUGGGCAGAGAAGGGCGCCGCCAUGCUGGGCACGGCUGAGUCACGCUCCAGCGACGCCUUGCCCCAGGGUGCUGGAGCUGGCGCCACCCUGGGUGUGGUCACUGAGCUGUGGCCCUGGGCAGAGCAGGGCUGGGUGGUCUAGGAUGUGGGGCCUCGGUGCCUGGGGAACUGACUUCGAAGAUGCCAAGCCCCCUGGCCUCCCGCCUGGCCUAGGUUCUGGGGUCACCCUCCAGGACUGUGGUGGCCCACACCCUGAGAAUGCCUUGGAGAGCCUAGAGGCCCUGAGCCUUGGGCCUGGGAAUCGGUGCGUUGAGGGAGGUGGAUAGGGCGCAGACACCAGUGACUGCAUUCAAGGCCAGGGGACCCCCACAGCCAGGCCCUCACUGCAAAAUGUACCUAUGUGGGGAGAAGGCAGGGGUGGACCUGAUGACGGGGUGUACCACUCUACUAAGGGUUCCCAACAUGAAGGUGAGGGGGCCCCUGGGAAUUCUGUGAUUGGUCUGGGAAAGAUUAAAGUCUAAGUGGGGGUUAGAGUGUGGACUGGCGGGACGCAAUGGGGGCUGGGAUGUCACUUUCAUGGUUCCCCUAUUUAUAACAAGUGAUUCAGCCCUCACUUACUCACCCCUUCCUGAGCCUCCCCCCACCCCAGCCCUGGGUGGGCAGCGGGGCCCACCCACUUGUCAGUGCCCUGACUUUCCCUACCCAGUGCCACCCUCUGAGGGCUGCCCAUCGGGGCGGUUGUUAUUGUCGCUGCACUGGGAUUGGGGCAGAGGGGCGGGGGGCUCCUGGUCAGGCGGCGCUUGGCCGGGCAGCCCAGGUUGGCGGCUGGCUCGAGGCCCAGCCCACGGAGCUUCUGCUGAGAGUCUGGGCCCAUUAGGCAAAGCGUUAGUGACAGGCUGGGAGGGCGGGUGGCGCGGCGGGCAGGGCGGGGCCUGCAGCCCUUGGUAUUUUCCGAUCCCAGCUGCUCUGUGAGGGUGGAAAGUAUUUGGGGACCAGGCUUGGGGGCGGAGGUGGUGGUGGCGCCCCCGGCGGAAGCUGCCCCUGAUUCAUUCUUGGAGCAUGGGGUUGGGGGGGUAGCGGUACACAUACAUACCCUUGUGUGUCUGGUCCACGCACACGCUGUCUGGAGGGGGUAUUCAGGCAUACCCACAUGCAUUGGCUGGCCGGGGUGUCCUGAUGCAGCCUGGGGCCUGCUUUGCUCCCCAGCCCAGGGGCCCGCCCUCUCCCUCAUGCCUCCAGCUGCUAGGAGCUUGGUUUCCCCCUGGACACCAUCUCCCAAGAGCCUGAGAAGUGCACCAUGAUUGGUAAAGGGGACCCUGUCUCCUGGGCACCUGCAUGGCAGCACCCCUUCCACUCAAGACCCAGACCUUUUGUGCCUGCGGGGAUGGGGAGUGGCCUUGGCCCCGGCCCUGGGCUCUGUGCAGGGGAAACCCCACAGGAAACGAGCCUGGCCAAAUGGCCGCCCUUCCCGUUCUCGUCCCUGGGACACGAAUGUGCUGUCUCACUUCCGGAGGCGGCCCAGGGAGGCUGGCCGCCCUGCGGGGCCUCGCCUGCUCCCAGUUGGCGCCUCCAGACCCUAAGGGGACAGGGCUGGGCUGGGGCCUGAUGGGAAAGAGUGGCUGGUAUGUGUGUAUGUGUGUAUAGGGAGGGGACAAAACAGGACAUCACUCGCCGCCUGUCUCGAAGUGGUGAGCGCCACCACAUCGGGCGGACACUGGGGUCCUGGUGUGAGACACCCACGUUUCCGUUAUCCUUUGCCUUGGCAAAGACAGCAGCAGCUCUGUCGUGAUCAUGUUUAUCACUCAUGGGGUCCUCACCAUGACUUAUGAAGUCCAUACUUAUUAUCCCUGUUUUGCAGAUGGGGAAGCUGAGGCCCAGAGAGGUUGAGUGACUUGCCCAGAGUCACCCAGCUCAGAAGCUGCAGAGCUGGGGCUUUCAAAUCUGGGCAGACUUGGGCUCCAAAACUGGAGUCUGCUAGCCAGGUGUUGGGCUCUUAUCAAAAGAAGCUCCACUCACUAAAGACUUAGGGCUGGCUUCAUGCAUUUGUGAAACGGGCAGUCUCACGGCAGCCCUGCUUGGAGGGACCUGGAGGUUAGUUUAAUGUUGCACUGCUGGGGUCAUGAAUUUUUUUUUAUUAUUAUUAAUUUUUUUGUCUUGUAUUGCCCAGGCUGGUCUCGAACUCCUGGCCCCAAGCGAUCUUCCUGUCUUGGCCUCCCGAAGUGCCGGGAUUAUAGGGAUGAGCCACCGCGCUCAGCCUGAAAUUAUUUUCUUUUUUUAAACUUGUUUUUGUUUAUUUUAGAGAUAGGGUCUUGCUCUGUCACUUAGGCUGGAGUUCAGUGGCAUGGUCAUAGAUCACGGCAGCCUCAAACUCCUGGGCUCAAGCAGUCCUCCCACCUCAGCCGCCUGAGUAGCUGGGGCUACAGAUGUGUACCACCACUCCUGGCUGAUUUUUUAGUGAAUUUUUUGUGGGCCAGACACUGUGGCUCAGGCCUGUAAGCCCAGCACUUUGGGAGGCUGAGGCAGGCGGAUUGCUUGAGCCCAGGAGUUGGAGACCAGUCUGGGCAACAUGGCAAAACCCCAUCUCUACAAAAAUUAGGGCCAGGUGUGGUGGCUCACGCCUGUAAUCCCAGCACUUUGGAAAGCCGAGGUGGGCGGAUCACCUGAGGUCAGGAGGUCGAGACCAGCCUGGCCAACAUGGUGAAACCCCGUCUCUACUAAAAAUACAAAACUUAACUGGGCGUGGUGGCGGGCACCUGUAAUCCCAGCUACUCGGGAGGCUGAAGCAGGAGAAUUGCUUGAACUCUGGAGGUGGAGGUUGCAGUGAACCGAGAUCACGCCAUUGCACUCCAGCCUGGGCGACAGGGCGAGACUCUGUCUCAAAAAAAAAAAAAAAGAAAAGAAAAAGAAAAAAUUAGCCGGGCAUGGUGGUGCAUAGCUGUAGUCCCAGCUACCCCGGAGGCUAAGGUGGGAGGAUCACUUGAACCUGGGAGGCUGAGGCUGCAGUGAGCUGUGAUUGCACCCCUGCACUCUAGCCGUGGCGACAGAGUGAGACCCUGUCUCAAAAAAGAAAAAAUAUUUUUUUUUUUUGUAGAGAUGGGGUAUUGUCGUAUUGCGCAGGCUGGUCUUGAACUCCUGGCCUCAGGUGACUCUCCUGCCUCGGCCUCCCAAAGUGCUGGGAUUACAGGCGUGAGCCGCCAUGCUUGGCCUGAAAUUCUUAGUUUUCGAACUAGAGGACCACGUGUUCAUUUUGCACCGGGUCCUGAAAAUCCUGUAUCUUGCCCUGGUGCUGGGCACUUACUGAGUGACAUACAUACUCGGUGACAUCUCACUGGGCUAUGCAAAAGAGGCUCUUGGCUCCAUUUUACAGAUGGGGAAACUGAAGCUUUGGAGAGUCUUUGGGAAACUGUGGAGCAAGGAUUUGAACCUUGGGCUGUUUGGGUGGAGAGGCCUGUAUCUUGGAGCUUGGAUCCUG